GGAGUGGAGCUCAGUGUUAGAGCAUGUGCUUAGUGAGCAUGCACGAGGCCCUGGGUUCAAUCCCCAGCACCCCG
rnacentral:tRNA from 1 species